CUGGUCAUUCCCGGGACCAGCCCGCGCAGGCUCCAGCCCCCCUAGACGUUUCCAGGGGCUUUUCCACGCAGCGGCCUCUCGCCUCGUGCUGUGGACUCUCCUGAAACCCCGAAGCGGCAGGGGCAGGCCUUCCGCUAAGAGGCCCCCGCUGGGCGCGGCAGCCGGGCUCUCCGCUCGGCCUCUCCGGGCGCCGCCCAGCCCAGCACAAGGGGCACACGCUGCAGGUCGCUCAGGAGCUCGUGCUGGGCGGCUCCCGGCAGGGCACAGGCGGGGCACCGGCAGCGGCCGGCUUUGCACCUCCCAGGAGGCCCCAGGGCCGCUGCACCCCCACAGAGGCACCUAAGCUGCGGACUGGGUGAGCACAAAGGCCCACUGAGGCCAGUCCCGCUCCUUAGGGCCGGCACGUGGGCAGCAGCCCUCUCCUGCCGUCACAGCUGGUCCCCAUGACCAAUCUCCCUGAGCGUGACCCCUUCCCAGUGACGUCAACAGCAAUUAAGGCUCAACUACAACAGGACAGAGCACGUGGCCCACCCGGCACACCUGGAGCGCCCAGCUCAGGGUGGACUCCCUGAUGAAUUUGAAGACUUGAGGUCUGAAUUAAGCUCUCACCACUCACAGCACAUCUGUAGGGUUUGUCUCCUGUGUGGACUCUCUGAUGGCCUUGAAGAUGUGACCUCCAACUGAAGCUCUUUCCACAUACAGCACAUUUGUAAGGUGUAACUGGCUGGGGGAAACCCGCUGUAAUGUUUUGAGGACACUCAGGCUGCUCAAGGGAGAGGCCCACUGGCAAGUGCCUGAGACCUUCUGCCAACAUCCAGGUGAAUGAGUCCACCUUGGAAGUGAUACUUCAGUCCCAUUGAGCCUUCAAAGGCCUGAAGCUCUGCUGGACUCCUUGACAGCAACUUUAUGAGAUCCUGACCCACAUCACCCAGGUAAGCUGCCUCUAGGUUCUUAACUCACAGAGGUAUUAAGUAAAUGCGUAAGCUGCUAAGUUUAAGAGUAGUUUGUUAUAUAAAUAGCUAAUACAAGUACCAUAAAAAUUAUAAUUAAGUUAGACAUUUGUCAGAAGAGCAGCAAUGUCCUGAAAUAAUCCUUUAGUGACACUUGUUUUUCCUCCACUUGUCAGCUGUCUCCAGAGGAGUGAGGACACUCAGAUCCACCUGGCAUCAUUCUCUAUAAGCUUUUGUUUACAAGGAUCCUCAAGGGAAAAGAAACAAUUUAGUUUGUGCAUCUGUGGAGUUAAAAUAGGCCUCAAGGACAUUCUUCAUAAAGGAAGCAGAGCAACUAGAGGAACAGACAAAAUGAGAAAUCUUGGGAUAUUCUGCUAUUGCCAAAAAGAACUUUGAAUAAAGGGAGCUGUAGGUAGAAUAUGCUCUAAGAUUUGUUCAGCUUCCUGAGGGGUGUCAGUUACAGUGGUGCAUCCAUUUGUAAAAACUCAUCAAAUUGCGUGCUUAGGAUGUGCACAUGUAAAUGCUACCUCAAUAAAAAGAACUUAAAUAAGUCAUUUCACUACCUGAAAAUUCAUGGAGGUGUACAUAUAUAAUCUAUGCAGUUUUCUGUAAAUAUUUCAAUUAAAAUGUUGGCCCAAAUUAAAAAAUAGUAAAGAUUUUCUCAAGAACACAAAGCAGCCCUGGCCAGGUAGCUCCGUAGGUUAGAGCAUUACCCAAUACACCACAGUUGUGAAUUAGAAACACAGAACACAUAUAAGAAUCAACCAAUGAAAGCCCAAAUAAGUGGAACAACAAAUCGAUA